UACGGGGGGAGCAAGCGUUGUUCGGAUUUACUGGGCGUAAAGGGCGCGUAGGCGGUCGUGACAAGUCACUUGUGAAAUCUCCGGGCUUAACUCGGAAAGGUCAACUGAUACUGUGCGACUAGAGUGCGGAAGGGGCAACUGGAAUUCUUGGUGUAGCGGUGAAAUGCGUAGAUAUCAAGAGGAACACCUGCGGCGAAGGCGGUCUCUGGGCAGUAACUGACGCUGAGGAGCGAAAGCGUGGGGAGCGAACAGGAUUAGACUACCGUAGU
rnacentral:rRNA from 1 species